rnacentral:misc_RNA from 1 species
CAACCCUCAAGCUCUGCUUGGUAUUAGGCUUCACCUGCUACAGGUGGGCCCCAAAAUCAGUGGCGGUGCCAUCUGGCUUCAAGCGUAGUAAUUUUUCUCACUUGGGAGUACCAGUUGUGUGCCUGCUAUUAAAACCCCAAUUUUUUAAGG